rfam:Clostridiales sp. SS3/4 draft genome.
UGAUACCAGGGUCAAAAGGUCAGAAGUUCGACGCAAGCUUGCUUGCAGGAGAAUUUUUGACCUUGGGACCCGCCAAAAACAUGAGUAAGUAGCCAUUUUUCAAAGAAAAAUGAGCGAAUUACGAAUGUUUUUAAGAAUUGCGGGAGCACGCAGUGCAGAGCAAUUCGGUAUCA